UCUUCUUCUUGGCCGGAGGCUCUGGAGUGACCUCCUCUUGGUCCGCUCCGCCCCCUGCCUCCUCUCCUCCAAUGGUCUUCUUUUUCUUCUUCUUCUUCUUCUCUAGGCUGGGGGGCGUGGCCUCCUCCUGCUCCACCUCCUCGGCGACGGACUCCUCCUUCGCUCCGGCCUUCUUCCUCCUCUUCUUCGUCGGCGUGCUCUCCUCGUCCGGCUGGCUCUGCUUGAUUCUGGUUCAGACCGUGCCGGUGGUGGAGGUGACGGCCUCAUCCUCCAGGCGAGCGCCCCCUGCUGGCUGAAGGAGACAUUAGGAGGAGGAGGUGGAGGAGAAGGUGGGUUAACUAACUUGAC
ensembl:lncRNA